rnacentral:tRNA from 1 species
GGGGCCUAUUAGAGCCGAUUGUUAAUCGGGUCUGGGCCAUUACAUGGCCAGGCUCCG